GCUCUGAUUGGAAGUAAGUCAGUAUUAGCAGUGUUGUUAAAAUCUCCACCAUGAAGAUCCAUGUGGGUGCUUGGAGUCUUACAAUAGAAAACAGAAUGAAUGCAUUCCUUCAUAUUAAAAGACACUAAAAAGUAAUGGCAGAUGAAAUGUGGUCACGUUGAGCAGCUGCUCAGAACCUCAGUAAAGUAUGGGUCUUGAUUACAAAGAGAGAUCUAUGGAUCCCAGUUGAUGGGGAGCAGAAACACAGGUACAUCUUAAGUAUAGAGGUCCUCAAGGGUACAACUUGGCUGUAC
rnacentral:lncRNA from 1 species